GGAGCACUCAGCAGGCGGUGUCGGUGGCUCCUUGGCCGGGCUGAAAUUUAAAAGUCCGGGGGCUUAAUAGCAAAACUGCCCUUGUCAAAAAGUUCGGAAAAGCUAAGAGACACCGGGAAGACAGGAGGAGCUCGGAGCCUCACUGAGAAAGAACGAUGCCCUCCUGUAAGCUGUGAUGAAAAGACACCGGGAGAAACUCGUCCUCUAAAACUCAACAAGAAAAGUAGAUCUACGAACCAGUAAGACAAUUUUUUUCUUUUUUUAUUCUGUGUGUUUUUGGCCGCCGCGCCGCGCUCUCACAAACACGCACACAUGCACGCACACUGACUUUUACAUCCUCCCCUCUCUGUCUCUUUGCUGUGAAUUGCUAUGUCUUGUCAUGGCCGCCGCGUCAUGACUGCUUGUUGGUCUGCUUGAAAUGUUUUUAUGUGUUAUAUGUGUCAUAUGUGUCUUUGCUUGGCUGCCGCGCCAAGACUAUAUAUUUUUUUUUUAAAAAAACAUCCGCCGACAUAGCCCUAGUCUGCGCAUCCAAUUUGACCACCAUGGCCACCCAUUAUUCCGCGUGUCCGUAAGCUACAACAUGGCCACCUGUGUUUGUCUCUGUCUUUCCAUUUCUCUUUGUUUUUCUUCUCUCAGGAACAGAUAGCUGAUCAACUGUGUGGGGAGGGAUGGCCUCCUAACACAAUUGGAACAUUUAGUGGUCUUGUUGUUUUGGAUAGUGAGUUUAUUUAGAGGACUGCAGGCUGGUUGGAAGAGGGAGAGAAAUCUGUUUGUUUUUUGAACCUAAAUGCUCAGUAAGAAAAAGGUUGGCUCUGGUUUGAUAAGCUAGUGAUGGUGUGACCAGGAAGAGUGAGACAUAGGGUCAGAGUUAGACUGAUGUGGUGCAGAGACUGAAGGCUCUGUGAUGGCUCCAGACAGGUUUUGUUAGGUUGUUUAUUAGUGGCUCUGUGGUGUUGAGUGUGAGACAGGGAAGGUUUUUGUGUACAAUGAUUUGAUGGAGCUGCAGUAGACAAUAGUAAUGGAGAGUUUUUGUAGUGUGGCAUAAACAAAGGUUGUGCUAAAAAUCAGGUGUAUUGAAGGUGCUUUGUCUUAUUGAUUUCUGUCUAAUAAGCUUGGAUCAAUAUUUGUGAACUAAUUUUUCCUUUUUAGGUAAAUCUACAAUCGGUG